UUUCAUAAUAUAUAUAUAGACAUCAUGCUCUUAGUUAAAUAACAGCAGUAGCACAGUCAAGUCACACAACAAUAGAGAGAUAUCAAUAUAUCAAUUGCAAUUCACAACAUAACAAUAUUAAUGUGAAGCAUCAACAACUUAAACAUCAAACAUCUUCCACAUAAGGCAUAUAAAUAUUUCACAUAACCAACAACAGCAACAUAGGCG
rnacentral:lncRNA from 1 species